UAGGGAAUCUUCGGCAAUGGACGAAAGUCUGACCGAGCAACGCCGCGUGAGUGAAGAAGGUUUUCGGAUCGUAAAACUCUGUUGUUAGAGAAGAACAAGGACGUUAGUAACUGAACGUCCCCUGACGGUAUCUAACCAGAAAGCCACGGCUAACUACGUGCCAGCAGCCGCGGUAAUACGUAGGUGGCAAGCGUUGUCCGGAUUUAUUGGGCGUAAAGCGAGCGCAGGCGGUUUCUUAAGUCUGAUGUGAAAGCCCCCGGCUCAACCGGGGAGGGUCAUUGGAAACUGGGAGACUUGAGUGCAGAAGAGGAGAGUGGAAUUCCAUGUGUAGCGGUGAAAUGCGUAGAUAUAUGGGGGAACACCAGUGGCGAAGGCGGGUCUCUGGUCUGUAACUGACGCUGAGGCUCGAAAGCGUGGGGAGCAAACAGG
rnacentral:rRNA from 1 species